UCCUCGGUAGUAUAGUGGUCAGUAUCCCCGCCUGUCACGCGGGAGACCGGGGUUCGAUUCCCCACCGGGGAG